AGUUUGAUCAUGGCUACAGAACGAACGCUGGCGGCAGGCCUAACACAUGCAAGUCGAACGCUCGUAGCAAUACGGGAGUGGCAGACGGGUGCGUAACGCGUGGGAACAUACCCUUUGGUUCGGAAUAACUCAGGGAAACUUGAGCUAAUACCGGAUACGCCCGAGAGGGGAAAGAUUUAUUGCCGAAGGAUUGGCCCGCGUCUGAUUAGCUAGUUGGUGAGGUAACGGCUCACCAAGGCGACGAUCAGUAGCUGGUCUGAGAGGAUGAUCAGCCACACUGGGACUGAGACACGGCCCAGACUCCUACGGGAGGCAGCAGUGGGGAAUAUUGGACAAUGGGCGCAAGCCUGAUCCAGCCAUGCCGCGUGAGUGAUGACGGCCUUAGGGUUGUAAAGCUCUUUUACCCGGGAAGAUAAUGACGGUACCGGGAGAAUAAGCCCCGGCUAACUUCGUG
rnacentral:rRNA from 1 species